rnacentral:rRNA from 1 species
UACAGAGGUGGCAAGCGUUGUUCGGAAUUACUGGGCGUAAAGGGCGCGUAGGCGGCCCGUCAAGUCCCGUGUGAAAGCCCCCGGCUCAACCGGGGAACGGCGCGGGAAACUAGCAGGCUUGAGUUCGGGAGAGGGAAGCGGAAUUCCGGGUGUAGCGGUGAAAUGCGUAGAUAUCCGGAGGAACCCCGGUGGCGAAGGCGGCUUCCUGGACCGACACUGACGCUGAGGCACGAAAGCUAGGGGAGCAAACGGG